GUUUNCUUCGUCUAGUGGCCUAGGACACCGCCCUUUCACGGCGGUAACAGGGGUUCGAGUCCCCUAGGGGACGCCA
rnacentral:tRNA from 1 species